GUAGUCAUAUGCUUGUCUCAAAGAUUAAGCCAUGCACGUCUAAGUAUAAGCAAUUAUACCGUGAAACUGCGAAUGGCUCAUUAAAUCAGUUAUCGUUUAUUUGAUAGUACCUUACUACUUGGAUAACCGUGGUAAUUCUAGAGCUAAUACAUGCUGAAAACCCCAACUUCGGAAGGGGUGUAUUUAUUAGAUAAAAAACCAAUGCCCUUCGGGGCUCCUUGGUGAUUCAUAAUAACCUCUCAGAUCGCAUGGCCUUGCGCCGGCGACGGUUCAUUCAAAUUUCUGCCUUAUCAACUUUCGAUGGUAAGGUAUUGGCUUACCAUGGUUUCAACGGGUAACGGGGAAUUAGGGUUCGAUUCCGGAGAGGGAGCCUGAGAAACGGCUACCACAUCCAAGGAAGGCAGCAGGCGCGCAAAUUACCCAAUCCCGACACGGGGAGGUAGUGACAAUAAAGACUGAUACAGGGCUCUUUUGGGUCUCGUAAUUGGAAUGAGUACAAUUUAAACCUCUUAACGAGGAACAAUUGGGGGGCAAGUCUUGUGCCAGCAGCC
rnacentral:rRNA from 1 species